GUGGUGGUGGCUCAGUGGCAGAAUUCUCAUCUUCUAUGUGGGAGACCUGGGUUUGAUUCCUGGUCAAUACA
rnacentral:tRNA from 1 species